rnacentral:rRNA from 1 species
AUUGAACGCUGGCGGCAGGCCUAACACAUGCAAGUCGAGCGAGAGGCGGACGGGUGAGUAAUGGAUGGGAAACUGCCUGUUGGAGGGGGAUAACUAAUGGAAACGGUAGCGAAUACCGCAUACCAUCAGAUGUGCCCAGAAGGGGUUAGCUAAUAGUUGGGGUAACGGCUCACCUAGGCGACGAUACCUAGCUGGUAUGAGAGGAUUAUCAGCCACCCUGGAACUGAGAGACAGUCAAGAUGCCUACGGGGAUCGGCGGUAGGAAAUAAUGCACAAUGGGCGCAAGCCUAAUGCGGCCAUGCCGAGUGUGUGACGAAGGCAUUCGGGUUUGAAGGCUCAUUCAACGGGUAGGCGUUGCCCACAUAAGAAACACCGGCUAACUCCGUGCCAGCGGCCGCGGUAAUUC